AUUGAACGCUGGCGGCAUGCUUUACACAUGCAGGUCGAACGGCAGCGCGGGCUUCGGCCUGGCGGCGAGUGGCGAACGUGUGAGUAAUGCAUCGGAGCGUGCCCAGUAGUGGGGGAUAGCCCGGCGAAAGCCGGAUUAAUACCGCAUACGACCUGAGGGUGAAAGCGGGGGACCGAAAGGCCUCGCGCUAUUGGCGCGGCCGAUGUCGGAUUAGCUAGUUGGUGGGGUAAAGGCUUACCAAGGCGACGAUCCGUAGCUGGUCUGAGAGGACGACCAGCCACACUGGGACUGAGACACGGCCCAGACUCCUACGGGAGGCAGCAGUGGGGAAUUUUGGACAAUGGGGGCAACCCUGAUCCAGCCAUGCCGCGUGCGGGAAGAAGGCCUUCGGGUUGUAAACCGCUUUUGUUCGGGAAGAAAUCCUCUGGGCUAAUACCCCGGGGGGAUGACGGUACCGGAAGAAUAAGCACCGGCUAACUACGUG
rnacentral:rRNA from 1 species